rnacentral:precursor_RNA from 1 species
AGAGUCCGGCAUUGGAGGACUGCGCGGACGUCCUCCAAAGUCAUCCAACGCCGGGCUUUCU